AGCUGCGCCCCACAUCCUGGCCAGCCCCUGGGCCAAAAGAAAGACAAAUCAGACACCUCUGGGAAUGUUUAGUCACUUCAAAGGACAAGCAUUUAAAGGCCUAUUUUAGAUUGGACUUACCCAAGGGCGUGACUUUUAUUUCAGGCAUUUUAACCAACUCUAGAUCCCAAACUACGCAGGAAUUAUUCUGCGGACACUCCGACAGGAUCCCCGCAGCCCAGAGAAGCCGCAGCGAGCCUCACCACCGCCAUUUCAACCCCGUUUCACACAGGAGGCUGAAGCGGGGGCCGGGCUUCAUCCUAGAGGG